AGCAGUUGCAGAUUUCCUGUAAAAACAUAUAUAGUUAUACGAAUGCUGCAUUAAUGUAUCAACUUUGGGAGCAGUAGACUAUCAGGAAAUGGGCCUGGACUUUCUGGAAAUAUGUGUCAGAUGAUAGCAGUCCAGCUAGCUGUUUCAGGUACCAAUGUAUAUGAACAUCUGUGAAGUAAUGCACAUCUCUGUUAGAAGACAGAAGAAACAAUCCGCAACUCAUACCAUCCUGUGAGUGAAGGACUGCGGUUUCACCAGCAUGAACAAGGAGUGGCUAUUAGAGUUACAGCCACAAAAAUAAUUUGUACCAAGCCAAAGAUGACGAAAUAGAUGCCAAAUCUACCAUCAAAGGGGUCCCUAAAGCAAGAAUUGUAAGGGCUGCACAUACCUUAAUAUCCAGUGACAUGGGAAGACCACACAAUCCUUCACAUCCAGUUUAUGGGCCAUACAGUUCAACUAAUAUUUGAUUGAUGUCUUGAUCCACAUGGAACUGAUCUUGGAGCUGCUGAUCCAUCAUCUAAUGUGGUACCAGCCUGCAUUUGUAUCACCACUGAUAGCGCUGCAUUCCACCAUAAACAGACACUAUUGACUGGUAUUUACAAGAUACAUGUUGUUGCCUUUCGUCUAAUUCAUGGCUGAAAAGUCUCCUGGAAUAGCUGGC